GAAACUUGACGUACGAGAGGAAGUACGUCAAAGUGACGUCACAAUUGCAGUUUGUUGAAAUUCUAAAAAUCGGUGUUCUCACGAUCAGUCUAGUUUGAUCAAAUUUUCUGUAUUAAGAGUUGUCUAACUUGUUUGAACUUUCUAAUCCACAAUGAAAAUUGAAAAUGAAAUGAAAAGGCUGGAGUGAGGAGUGCUGAAGGGAGUUGUGACUUUACUUUGUUGUCAAGUACUAAGUAGGGCACCUAUUACCACUGUUCGAGCAUAUCAGGCAGAAAAAAUAGAAAAGAAAGAAUGUAGGCUAGCUGGACUUUUUCCAUGAAAUGAAAGCCCUAAUAAAAACUAAAUUGUGUACAAGAAGACAUUGGGAAAAAUACAUCUAUGAGUGAAAGCAUCAACAGUGCCAACAGAUUAAUUGUUGCUUUACGCUAUGUAGGCACAGGGCUCACAUUAAAAAGGGUAAGCUUUUCCACGACAAUUGCAUAUAAUUUUUCUAAAUUAGCAAUAAAUUUAAUAGCAAAUGGCAGCAUAGGCGUAACCAGGGGGGGGUUUUGGGGGUUAUAACCCCCCCAUUGGGAUGUACUUUGAGCUCUAUACACUUAACACCAUAGCCCUCAGAGGCCUUCCAGUAGUUGUAACCCCCCCCUUUCAGGUAGUUGUAACCCCCCCCUUUCAGGUAGUUGUAACCCCCCCUUAGGAUCAUCCUGGUUACGCCUAUGAAUGGCAGUUUUCACAUUGGGUGCAUUCAGCAGACGCAAUCGCUAACUAAUCGAUUAGUAAUCGAUUUGUGAUUUACAUACUGAAUGUCACAAUUUAUGUGGCAUUCAGCAGAAAAUCACUAAUCGAUUAGUUAGCGAUUGUGUCUGCUGAAUGCACCCAAUGUCUAGAAGCUAUGGAUGGAAACAUGGUGAACUUUCAACCUCUCAGAAGGGAUACUAUAGAAAUUAUAAAGGAACUGACAGCCAUUACUUUUUGCUGUAUUAUAUUAUGCAGAUGGUCAAUUUCUUAUUGCAGAUAUAAGAAGAAAUGAUCCAAAUAUAUCAGAUUUGAAUUUCAGAUUUUUUAAUAGCUAUUGGUGCAGUUAGCAACAUUCGGCUGUGAAUAAGUUUAAAAUGUAAAUUAUUUUAGUGCGUUUUUAGUUAAACCUUAUUGUAUAUUUGAAGAUUUACAAUUAUUAUUACACUGAUAAUUAAUAUAAUUAGUUUUAUUAAUAUUAUGAGUGGCCAAAAUAAAUAAAA